rnacentral:rRNA from 1 species
AUGUGGCACAACACCGGCAAUACCUUGCUGGUGAUGGUCAACGGCCGGCAGACGGGCAGCAAAAAGGUUCUGGUACUGCACACCAACAAGAACUUCGACCAGCAGAGGACCAACUGGGCGAUGCACCAGUACCACCUCGGGGACAUGGAGCAAGAGAAGGAGCGGGAGCUGGUCCUCUGCAAGAUUUUCUACCAAACGAACACUAGGGCCAGGAGUAAAAAGAUUAUAAGUUGGUUUGGUAUUGGUACUUGUACUACAUUGUCAUCCGCAAGUUGGUCGAGCAAGUUUCAACUGGGCUGUAGACUGCCCAGGCUUGGUUUUGUUUUUAACAGGCCCAGCUCAUGA